rnacentral:rRNA from 1 species
UAGGGAAUAUUGGACAAUGGGGGCAACCCUGAUCCAGCCAUGCCGCGUGAGUGAAGAAGGCCCUCGGGUUGUAAAGCUCUUUUGUCCGGAAAGAAAAGCAUUCGGUGAAUACCUGGAUGUUCUGACGGUACCGGAAGAAUAAGCACCGGCUAACUUCGUGCCAGCAGCCGCGGUAAUACGUAGGGUGCAAGCGUUAAUCGGAAUUACUGGGCGUAAAGCGUGCGCAGGCGGUUUUGUAAGACAGAGGUGAAAUCCCCGGGCUCAACCUGGGAACUGCCUUUGUGACUGCAAAGCUGGAGUGCGGCAGAGGGGGAUGGAAUUCCGCGUAGCAGUGAAAUGCGUAGAUAUGCGGAGGAACACCGAUGGCGAAGGCAAUCCCCUGGGCCUGCACUGACGCUCAUGCACGAAAGCGUGGGGAGCAAACA